UACGGAGGGGGCUAGCGUUGUUCGGAAUUACUGGGCGUAAAGCGCACGUAGGCGGCUUUGUAAGUUAGAGGUGAAAUCCCCGGGCUCAACCUGGGAAUGGCAGUGGAUACUGGACAGCUAGAGUGUGUCAGAGGAUGGUGGAAUUCCCGGUGUAGCGGUGGAAUGCGCAGAUAUCAGGAGGAACACCGGUGGCGAAGGCGGGUCUCUGGGCAGUAACUGACGCUGAGGAGCGAAAGCGUGGGGAGCGAACAGG
rnacentral:rRNA from 1 species